AAUGACCAGAAAGGAGAGCCAAAAAAAUCUCAAAAAGGAAGUUAUUUUAAUUUUUUUUUUCCGUCCAAUAUAAAUCAUAACAAAACGGAUGAUAGUGGUUUGGAUAAAAAUAUAAAUUCGGAUCAUCCAACUAAUUUAUGUCUCGAUAAGAGUAUAAGCCAUACGGACAAUAUAACGACAGUUAAUACUACUACUACUAGUACUGCCGAAUCAGAUGUUUAUAAAAACAAUUGGAACAUUAGCCUUAUAAAUGAUUUUAUUAAUGCAAUAAUCGAAAGUUUUUUAUUAUAUGUCGAAGAAAUGGAAAACAUACACACAAAUUUGAAACAAAUGAGCAAAGAUUUAUAUGAACCUAAGUUAUACGGUUAUAAUAAUAUAUCGAUAUUUGAUCAUGUUAAACAUGUUAUUAAAGAAAAUGAGCAAUUAGAAAUAGAUAUGUAUAUACAUUUAUAUAAAAUAAGAAAUAAAAAAAAUAAAAAAAAUAAAAAAAAAAAAUAUAAAAUUACAAUGUGUAACAAUUUAUCUUUUUUUUUUUAUGAUCUAUAUAAAAAGUGUAAACAAAAUGAAGGAGAAGAUUUUAUGGUACAGUUAGUUAAUUCGAGUAAAAACAUUGUGUUAUCGGAUAGUGGUUUUAUAGAGGGAAAAAAAAAACCAAAAAGGAAGAAGUUAAAAGUGAAUAAAAAUGAUGGCAAUGAGGCAACUAUGGAGGGCAAAGUUGAGAACGAUAAUGAAGAUAUGAUAUUAAAAAAAGGUGAUAGUGAUAAGGUGGUGAAUGAUGAGGAUGUGAAUGAUAAAGAUCGUACAAUUAAAAAGCGAAGAUAUAACGAUCAUAUAGGUAGUUGUAACAUUAAUAAUGAUAUGUCAAUUGAGGAAAAUGUUGCAAAAAGUUCGUCAGUUAUGAACACACAAACAAAAUUAAACAAACAAAUGAUGAUGAACAAAAAAAUGAUGAUGAACAAAAAAAUGAUGAUGAACAAACAAAUGAUGAUAAACAAAAAAAAUGAAUGCUACGUUAGAAAAAGAUUCACGUUUAUGUAAAAUGGGAAAAGAAACGUAUGAACGUUUUGUCAAGUUAUAUACUACAUCCAAAAUGGAUAUAAAAAAUGUAUGUUUAAAACAUAAUAUUACACAUAAUAAGAAAUAUAAAAAAUAUAAUAAAUAUAAACAAGAUAUAGAUCAAUUAAUUAAAAGUAGCAGUUAUGAUAAUAAAAAAAGAAUAAGAGAUAGAGUAAAAAAACUAUCAUCUUUUAAUAAUUCAUUAUUUACUUAUAUUAGUGAUAAAUUAGUAAAUCAUAUGAAUAAAUUAUUUUGUUUAAAAAAUUAUACACGAAUUUUAAAAGGUGUACAAAACAAUUACUAUAUUGAACAUAUUUAUAAACUAUAUAAAAAUAUGUAUGACAUAAAUAAUAUUGAUAAUAAUAUGAAUAGUAGUGAUGUUUUAAAUAUUGCACAGUUUAUUAUUGAUAUUUUUUUAUUAAAAAAUAUUAAAGAAAAAGAUUAUUUAAAAAAAAAAAUGCAUAAACUUAAAUAUUCUUUGAAAAAUAUUUAUAUGAAUCAUGGUGAAAAUAAUUUAAAUAUACUUUGUAAAAAUAUAAUGAAAAAUGCGUCUACUCAUUUUAAAAAAGGUGGGGUAGAGGAUAAUAUUUUUUAUAAUAACAACAUAUGUCACAAAUCUGAUUCUGAUAUAAGUUUAAGAAAUAAAAAAAGGAAACUAUCACAUAUAAAUAGUGAACAAUAUCAUGAUAAUAAUAAUAAUAAUAUAACGUAUUUAGAUUUGAUGGUAGUAGAUAAAUCGUUAAAAGUGAAAAGUGAUAAUAUAGUUAAUGUUGGUAUUAGUGAAGUUAAAUUGGAUGGGGGUUCACAUGAGAAUAUAAGUGGGACUAGUAACAACUGUAGUAGUGAUUACGCUGUUUUUAGCGACUUUAACAUUUGCAAUAGUAAUAACAGCUUACUAAACAAAAAGAUAUAUGAUAAAAGGAGAGAAAACGAGUAUAACAAUUUAACUACUAACGAAUCUCCAAAUAAGUUUUCAACGAGUUGUACAUUCGAUAUACCACAAAUAGACAAAAUUCAAUCAUUAUGUUAUAAAUACAUGGUAGAGAAAGAACAAUUAAAUGUAAAAAUAGAUAAACAGUAUAUACUUUUUUUUCAUGAUAUACAACAAUUUUAUAAAUAUAUGAAUGUAGUACCUGUACAAAAACAGAUAAGAAAUAAUGUAGAAGAACUUACAUUAAUGGUAUUUUAUUAUUAUUGUAAAUAUAAAAGUUAUACAAUAAAAGAAAUGUGUUUCAGAAUUUUUUUUUUUUUUACUUAUAAUAAUAUUAUAAAUAAAUAUAAUAUAUGUAAUUAUAUAACUUUUUUAAAAUUAUAUAGUAUAUAUUUGUCAGGUGAUCAAUGUAAACAUUUCCGUUUGUUUCACCAUAAUGUGGAAAAAAAAAAAGCUAAAAAAGUUACUGUAUCAGGUGAUAGUAUAACUGUAGAUACUAGUAUGAGCAAACCAAAAUUGAAACAUACACAACAAUAUAACUCAAAAUACGAAUAUAUAAUUUAUUCACAUUUACUUAUGUUAAAAUUGUUAUAUAAAACUUAUUUAAAAGUUUUAAAAAAAAAAUAUACAAUAAAUUAUAUAUUUUUGGAAAAUUUAAUUAAUCAAUCAUUUGUUACCUUAUCGAAUUUAUUAACUAAAUAUAGUUAUGAUAAAUAUCAUAGAAAAGUGAGACCUCAAAUCAUUUUUUUAUUUGUACAAUUUCUGCAUAUAAAUUCAAAGUAUUACUAUGAAAAUUUAACAUUAUUUAUUAAUAAAUAUGAUACAAUGUGUAUAAUGAAGAGAGAGAAAAGUGAGUCUAAUGGUUGUAAAGACAUGUAUAUUGGAGGGGAAGAGAAAAAGGAGUCCUAUUUUUAUGAUUUGAAUGGAGAUGUAAGUACAAACUUUAGAGAAGACACAAAUUCAGACAGGAGCGUUUAUAACACUUGGCCACCAAACGAGUACGUACAAAAUACACUUUAUGAAAACAAAACGAUAAAAAAAUCAACAGGAAGAGUAAAAAAUAAACGAACUAUAGAUAAAGAACAGGUUAUGCAAGAUGUGAGAGAGAUAAAAGAGAUGGAAGAGAUGGAAGAUAUGGACGAGAUGGACGAGAUGGACGAGAUGGACGAGAUGGACGAGAUGGACGAGAUGGAAGAUAUGGACAAGAUGGAAGAUGUGAGAGAGAUGGAAGAGAUGGACGAGAUGGAAGAUAUGGAAGAGAUGGACGAGAUGGAAGAUAUGGACGAGAUGGAAGAGAUGGACGAGAUGGAAGAGAUGGACGAGAUGGAAGAUAUGGACGAGAUGGACAAGAUGGAUGGACAUACACCUAGAAUAGGACCAUAUAAAACAAAAAAUAUAGACAUAAUUAAAAAUGAGUUUAAAAAUAUUGUAAAAAGUGAAGAAUCUAUAAUAAGAAAUAUUGAUAGUGUCAACAGUAACAUUAAUAAUAAUAGUCGUUAUAACACGCAGAAUGUGAAUUAUCCAGUUUGGAAUAUUCUAAUAAAUAUACAGAAUAACAUAAAAAUAGCAUUGGUAUCAUUUUUAAAAUGUUUUUAUAAAUGUAUAUUAAUACUAAAAUUAAAAUUAUACAACAAUUCUUUUAUUGAAGAUAAGGUUUUAAAAAGGAUAAAGCAAAUCACGCAUUACACAUAUAGUCUUUAUAUUUUAUUAAAAAUAAAAAACUAUCCCAUUUGUAAGGAAUUCAAUUUUGUAUUAAAUGAGGUGAAUAAGAAUUUCUUUUACAUUGAUAUAUUUUUGAAUCCAUCCAUUUUCAAAAUAUUGCCGGAGGAUAGCUAUGUUAAAAAUAUAUAUGUAUCUGUUAUGUCGCAUAAUAAAAACAAUGACAAUAUGAGUAAUGUAAAAGAAAAAAAACAAAAAUGGUUUAAAAAUCAUGAGAUGGAUAUUGCUAAUGUAUUAGAUUCUUACCAAAUGACAAAUUAUAUUAAUAAAACACAUGUGAUGUAUGAAAAGGGGAUUGAAGAAGGGAUUGAAAAGGGGAUUGAAAAAAAUGAUAUUACAAAACAAUAUAUGACACUAAUUUAUUAUUACUAUUAUAUAAAAAGUGAAAUAUGUAAAAAAUUAAAGAAUACUAGUAUUCCUAUUUUAUAUUGUAAAGCAAAAAAAAUGGACAAAAAUUUUAAAAAUUCUGUCGAUUAUCUUGAUCUCUUAUUUGAUGCUCGAUUAUACAUGUUAGUAUUAAAUUAUAAAUUACAAAAUAAAAUUAUAACUUUUUUUACUUCAUGUAUCAAUUUUUUAAUGUCACAAUAUUUUGGAGAAAAUAACCAAAGUAACAAAGGGAAAAAACAUAUAUUUUUUACACUUAUUAUUAAGGCAAUGAAAAUAUAUAGUAUAAUUUUUUCUUUUUUUUAUAUACGGUUGAAUUGCUUUUCAGAACAAUCUACAAAUAAUAUAUACAAUGUAUUAAAUAACAAAAUUAAUAUAUAUUCUUAUAAUGAUGAAAUGACACAAACGAUGUUAAAUAUUUUUAAUUUUAUUAAUUUUCGAUAUGGUUGUUCAUAUAAGUUUUUAAAUUAUGUUUAUACUUCUUUUCAUGUCUUUAUUAACGCAUUGGUACAAAUGAACAUGAACAUUUACUUUGAUAGGAAACACAUAGGAACAGUUGAAUAUAGUAAUAAUAGACGAUCAAAUAAAAAAAAAGGUAAUAAUAAAGCGGGUGUGACGAAUCGAACGUGUAAAUCGAAUGCAACAAAUCGAACGUAUAAAUCGAAUGCAACAAAUCGAACGUAUAAAUCGAAUGCAACGAAUCGAACGUAUAAAUCGAAUGCAACGAAUCGAACGUAUAAAUCGAAUGCAACGAAUCGAACGUGUAAAUCGGAUGCAACAAAUCGAACGUGUAAAUCGGAUGCAACG
ensembl:lncRNA